UUAUGGCCUCUGCAUUAGCUCCUGCCUCCAGGCUCCUGCUUUGUUUGAGUUCCUGUCCUGACUUUCCUCAAUGGACUGUAACUCAGGAUAUGUAAGCUAAAUGAACUCUUUCCUCCUGAUGUUGCUUUUGGUUAUGGUGUUUCGUUGCAGCAAUAGUAACUCUAAAUAGGACAGCAGCAGCAGCAGCAGCAGCAACAACAACAACUGGGAGGAACCUUAUGUCUUCUCCAUUGAUAAUCCAACCUAGACUUUAAGAAAUGGCAGAGAAAUUCUAUUCAGGAGGGAAGAACCACCCUGAACUUAGCCCCAGCACACUGACUGGAUUCCAGAGUGAAUAAGAGGAGGAAAAACCAGGUGAGUAUUCCUCUAUCUAUGUUUACUAAUAGUGUCACAAUGUGAUCUUCCACCUCAUGCUCCUCCAGUCAUGACUUCCUUACCAUGAGGGGAUGUUUCCUUUCAGACCCUGAGCCAGAAUAAACCUUUUCUUCCCCAAGUGGCUUUUGUCAGGUAUAUUGUCAUGUCAACCAGAAAGGUAGCUAGUUUAAUAACUAUAGAUCACAUACAACUGAAAGGAUUUUAGCCUGAAAUACAGGAAAAAUGCAGGGUGCCUUCAGAAGGCUGUAGUAGGGAUCAUAAGAAAGCAGGAUUCAGCAGAAUGAAAUGUCAGCAGGAGACAGACACCUUUUUCUGUCUUGUUCGCAGUCUGUCAGUCAGAUGGCUAAUCCAAUCCACCACUGGAUAUUUUCCACAUCUUUCUAGUAAAUGAGUAAUGCUGGAAAGGUGAAGUAGUAUGUGCUUACAUGUCAGUAUGGAAUAUAGAUUUCAACUCCCAGACAGACUAUGUUGUUAAACUUUUCUAAAUGGUAGUAUUUCCAAUUUUAAUAUUUAUACUAAUAUACCUUAAGUGAAGAUCAAAUUAUGUAAAACUUUGGUUUAAGUGUGAACUAAAGCAGCUGGAAUUUGCA